rnacentral:rRNA from 1 species
AAUUUUGGACAAUGGGGGAAACCCUGAUCCAGCCAUCCCGCGUGUAUGAUGAAGGCCUNCGGGAUNUNAAGUACUUUGGGCAGAGNCGAAAAGGCAUCCCCUAAUACGGGAUACUGCUGACGGUAUCUGAAGAAUAAGCACCGGCUAUCUACGGGCAAGCAGCCGCGGUAAUACGUAGGGUGCAAGCGUGAAGCGGAAUUACUGGGCGUAAAGCGUGUGUAGGCGGUUCGGAAAGAAAGAUGUCAAAUCCCAGGGCUCAACCUUGGAACUGCAUUUUUAACUGCCGAGCUAGAGUAUGUCAGAGGGGGGUAGAAUUCCACGUGUAGCAGUGAAAUGCGUAGAUAUGUGGAGGAAUACCGAUGGCGAAGGCAGCCCCCUGGGAUAAUACUGACGCUCAGACACGAAAGCGUGGGGAGCAAACAGG